rnacentral:rRNA from 1 species
UGCGGAGGGGGCGAGCGUUAUUCGGAAUUAUUGGGCGUAAAGGGCGCGUAGGCGGCUGUACAAGUCAAAGGUGAAAUCCCUCGGCUCAACUGAGGAACUGCCUUUGAAACUGUACGGCUUGAGGCCGGGAGGGGGUAGCGGAAUUCCCAGUGUAGCGGUGAAAUGCGUAGAUAUCAGGAAGAACACCAAUGGCGAAAGCAGCUCUCUGGGACGGUACUGACGCUGAGACGCGAAAGCGUGGGGAGCGAACAGG